rnacentral:tRNA from 1 species
GGUGGGUUAGCUCAGUGGGUAGAGCUUAGGGUUUGUGACGAUAAGACCCAGGUUCGAAUGUCGUCACUCGCCA